UUUCCCCCUUCCCGCAACACUCGACCACUAUAAAUGCGAGGCGAGAGACAAAGCCGCCAACAAUCUACCGAGAUCGGAUUCUUCCACACUUCUGCCGCCGCCGCCGCCACCGCUAGCCAAAGAGUCACACAGAGAAAACCACCUCCGCGAUGAGGGCCAAGUGGAAGAAGAAGAGAAUGAGGAGGCUCAAGCGGAAGCGCCGAAAGAUGAGGCAGCGAUCUAAGUAGGCGCCCUCCAGGAGUAGCAUUACCUUGCAUACAGGCUGCUGGACAUUGUGGGAUGAAGUUGCGUCUAAUGAUUCCUGAUGUGUCAUAGUAGUUUUGGUUGUAGGUGAUGUGAAUCCUUCACUGAUUUGGCCAAAUUAGGCGUUUUUAAUAGUCUGGUUAUUAUGUCCCAAGACUGUUUUAUGUACUGUAAGGAUGGUUAUAUGUAUUGUUACUGAAUCUUACAACGAGUUUGGUGGUGCCUGGCAUCGUGGCAUAUGUUAUCUUCUUUGAUAA